AAUGGUAGUUUUUUUUUUUUUUUUUUUUUGCAGUUGUUUAAAAUUAGGGCCGCUGAUAUUCGAUGCUAUUUUGUUUUUGUUUUUGUUUUUUAUAAUCAGUCUGUUUUAAAAUUGGGUAUCAAAUAUGCAGCUCCUUUUUGUAGUGACCCUUAAAUCAGCGGGUUCUAUUAUCAGCAAAUAAUGUGUGUUUAACAUUCUUUACUCUCGCUCCCUGUUGUGCUUGUGAUUCGUGAUUCAUGAAUCCAGCAUGUUAAGUUGUCCGACUUCAUUUACUUAACUCUUCAGGUGAUGCAUAUAAUGUAAGGUUUGACAUUUCUUUGUGACUAUACACACUUCCAUCUAAAUUUGUUCUAGCUUGAUAACUAGAUGGAGGUUGUCAACUAGUUUGCGAUGAUGAGUAAAUGGCUGCGUAGAUGACCAUUCUAAUCAGUGUCAAACACUAUAAUAGCAACUUGUCAAUUUAGAGUCUCUUUCGUGUCACAUAAUAAGCUUCUUUGGAUGUAAAAGCUUUCGACGUGGUUCUCUAAAGUCUUUCUUGUAACCAGAGCCUUACAGAUGACUCCCUGCACUCUUAAUAUUUUCCUUGUAUCUCUUAGAAGAAAGUUCAAGGUCAACACCCCUCUCUUUGUUUUGCUAACACUAGAAGGAUUCCCCAAAAGGCGUUGCUCUGCAAAAAUGGAGAAAGAAAUAGACGAACCACCUAUCAAAUGUGGGUGUUGAACCAAACAAUGGUGUCUUAGUUCCUUUUGUAUAAGUAUUUGACACAGUGUUAGUUUUCAUCCCACUGCUUUGUAUUUUGGUACUUGUGAUUGGCAACAUCAGUGGUGGUGCCUAGCUAGGUAAUAAUAACUUCUUUGUGUUUAAAUUUUUCAUGAAUUGGGAUGAAAUUAAAAAGCAGACAAGAAGAAGCCUUGUACCAUGUGGGUUGUUUUGGCCACUAGAAUAUAUGAAUUUUGUUUCUCCUUUUCACUUUAUUUAUGUCUCUGUUUAAUUGACAAGUUGGGUUUAAAAGCGUUUUAAUGAUUUUUUAUUCUA